CCACCCUCACGCGCCCUGUGCGCGUGGUGUUGGGGCUCGCUCUCCCUGCCCUGGCGCGGGAGAGGCCCUGAAAGCGAGUGGCGGGCCGCCUGGUCUGGCUCCGAGCGCAGUAGAAACGCACCGUUUUUCCCCUCGCUCUGGACGCCGCCGGCGCGCCCUGCCGUCAAAACCCGCACGCGCGACGUGCACACCUCACAA
rnacentral:misc_RNA from 2 species